AACGGCUGAAAUCUAACAUCUGGUGUAACUGUACAAACCUGACCUUAGGUCACGGUCCACCAGUACAGCAGGCCUGUGGGUUGGCAGGAAAGGACAGCCAGCGGUUGCUCUUCCAGCAGCUCGGUCUCCUGCCCUCCAUGAGGAGCACACAUCGCCAGCAAAGAGAGGACCAGAAGAUGCUACAGCAACCCCUUCUUCAGCCAGCGAUGAGUAUGUCCAACACCUCCACUCCCGUGCUGGCUGGAUUAUUAAAAUAACAUUUCC